rnacentral:misc_RNA from 1 species
UGCAUCACAAAGGAAGUACAAA